AUGAUUACAAUGGAAGAAACUCAAAUCAGAUGGUUGACAAGAAGAAAUUUAACUGCCAUAAUUGUGGUGAACAAGGACACUUCAUAUCUGAGUGCACUAAGAAGAGGAAGCCAGAUGAUAAGAAGUAUAACAACAACCAGUCCAAGCAUCAGGAUAAUAGAAGGGGAAAUUCUUCACCUGAUGUUGGGUGGUUGA
rnacentral:rRNA from 1 species